rnacentral:rRNA from 1 species
UACGUAGGCAGCAAGCGUUGUUCGGAGUUACUGGGCGUAAAGGGUGCGUAGGCGGCUUUUUAAGUCUGGUGUGAAAUCUCCCGGCUCAACUGGGAGGGUGCGCCGGAUACUGAGGGGCUAGAGUGUGGGAGAGGAAAGUGGAAUUCCUGGUGUAGCGGUGAAAUUCGUAGAUAUUGGGAAGAACACCGGUGGCGAAGGCGGCUCACUGGCUCGUAACUGACGCUCAGACGCGACAGCGUGGGGAUCAAACAGG